rnacentral:lncRNA from 1 species
CCCCCUGCUGCCCUUGGUCCCAUUGGCAGGGAGGAGUCGUUGUGGGAGCAGGCCGCCUCCUUCACAUUCGCGCCCGCCCGGUCCCCCACUCCUCGCGUCGCCCGUGUUGGCCUUCGCGACGGCCGCUCCGGGAGCAGGCGAGGGAGCCACGAGGCAGGACAGGGCAUGACGGAUCGGACCUCCUCGGCUUGGGCCCAUUGGCAGCGUGCGGUAGGUGCUGGCGUGUUGCGUUGGGCGAGAGGAGGAUAGGCCCUCGAUUGCAUCUACCUGCCCCGCGUCGUGUCCCAAGUCGUACUCGCGUGCGCUCGGCCAUGCCUCUGCGGCUGACGGUGCUGUACCUGCUCAACAGUGCACGACGGCCUUGCCAUGUCGUCUUGGAAGAUCGCGAGCGGCCCCCCACUACUGGUGAGUCGUUUCUUCUCCUUUUCAACUCGGCCAGCUGAAGCUCUCGCUCUCUGUCCUCAUAGAGUUGCAUAUAGCCUGAAAUCUCUUGUUUCUGUAUUCUCAACAAAUCUAGAUAGACGGGCUCCGACAAUCCCGCGCCUGAGACACUCCAGCUUGGUUCAUCUCCGUUGUGAACUGUUGCGUCUUGUGUUGAUCUUGGUCGGAGAAUUGGUUUCUUAUUAUUGAAUGUUGUCUUUGUAGUUGAGCUCCCCAGCAUAUGGCGCCGGUGACCUGAACGUGUUAGAACCUGACGUUCCUCCUUGGAGCAUCAUGAGAGAAGGUGUGCGGUCUCUUCCUCCACGGACUAUUCUGGGUAUUGAGUCAUAUGUUGCUUUGGUCUGCUACCGAAUGUUCUGCAAAGAUGUUUCCUUUCUGGUCUCACGGUUUUAAAAAGCCACCUGCCAGCCCUCUCUUUUCAAUUGAUCCUUAUUUGCCCUUGUUUCUUGGUGUGUCUCAUGGUUACAGCUGUGUAGUUUAGGUAACAUGCUGCUAAAUUUUUUGCUGACUUCCUUCUUAUAUGGCCUGCCUUUCGUAGUGUGUUCUUCCGGUAUACUUCUAUGGUUAUUGUCUUUGAUGGUUUUUAGUGUCCAACCAUGCAUGUAUGCUUGUACAGCUCCACCUGGUCCUACUGUAUCAUCAUGCUUCACCACUGCUAGCAAUAGCAGUGUUGGAAUGAAAAGUGCUGCUCAGUGCCCAGUGGAAAUGAAAUAACAACAUUGAUGUGCAUAUGCACUAAUGCACUUAUGUGGGUUCAUUGUCAGUGAUGGGCCUGUCAAAUCCAAUAACUUACGUGCAUUGUUACCUUGCCAAUGUUCCAUAUCCAGUCAAAUCCAAUAACUUACGUGCGUUGUUACCUUGCCCGCUUCCAUGUGCAGAGGUUGAGAUUUGGAUUUCUUUUCUUUGGAAAACAGGGGCAGUGGCGCUGGGAUCAUUGUCUUUAGGUAUUGUAGUUGUUUCUAACUCCACAUGUUAUCUAUGGGUUAAGCAUUGUCUUAGUUUGGUGGCUUCUUGUUGCACGUUAUGGUUGUGUGGUGUUGGUGUUGGGGUUAAGCAAAAAAAGGUUAUGUAUGAAAAUAGUACUAUAUGGUCGACUAGAUCGUGUGUUUUUUUUUGCAGAAUGGCAUCCUAUUUCUUAAUAGCUGAUUGGAAUUCUAGACUUUGUUUCAGUGCUUCAACUUCUGAACUUUUAGGCAAAAAUUCUGUGAUAGCGGUAUGUAUAGAACUACCUGCCUUGUUAUAUGUUUUUUAAACAGACCCCAUCGAGUGUCGAGAACCAAAGAAACUAAAUAAUGGUUAUUCUGUUAUAUGUUUUUUUAAGCAGACCCCAACGAGUGUCGAGAACCAAAGAAACUAAAUAAUGGUUAUUCUGUUAUAUGUUUUUUUAAACAGACCCCAACGAGUGUCGAGAACCAAAGAAACUAGAUAAUGGUUAUUCUGCGGUAGGAGUGUGUAUCAAGCUACCUGUUGGUUCCUGCUGUUAUUUCAAACUUUCUGAAUGAUUCGUGUUGGAAUAGAAUUUCUGUGAUGUUGUGAGGGAGGCUGUGGUCCAGAUCUCUGUUUGUCUGGAUUUGGUUUGGCUCUUUUUGGAAUUUAUUUAUAUGAUCUACAGGCUGUGCACUGUGUUGGUUGUACUGCAUCGUUUCUAAAACUUCGAACAGUGGUAGCACAAGUGCCCUGUUGUUAGUUCGUUUCAAAUGCAGGCUCGUGUAUAUCUACUACUUAGCGAGCAGUUGGAUGAGGUGACUCAGAUGCAUUGGUUUCUUCUCAGAGCAUCAAUUUAGUUUAGGGUUGCAUUAGGCCUAUAGCAGCUUUGUGUUGCUACUGUGAUCCCUUGUUUACCUCUGUGUUUUCCCUUCUGAGGAAAAGCUGUGUUUUUUCCUUCAUUGAUAAUUGCUUCCCCAGCCUGACACAGCACUGUAUGUAUAGUUCUCUGUGUAUUGCAUUGUCCAGGUGAUGGAGUUGUGCAGAAAAAAAAACAUCAUUUUGCUUUUACUGAUUAUUCUUAGGAUGCUGAUAUGUAGUGUUUAUAUAUCUUGUAGGGAAGGCUGCGGGCUCUGGUGUUGUUCUGUGGAGGUCUGAACUGUUGCCGCCUUUCUGGUGUGCGUUUGUGACACGUUUCAGCUGUAAGUCCACUGCCCGUGCUCAUGGUGCUCAUAGUGCUGUAGGGCUUUGAUGCUUGUGUGUUUCAAAUUCAGUUUUCUCUGAGGGUGUGUUUGUUUGUACUGUAAACUAUUUGUCCAUGUGUGCUUGUCACUUACAUACCGGCUUCUCUUGCAUACUUGCUACUUUGUAAGUUAUGAUUUGUGUGGCUGCAAUGUUUUCUUCUCUGUAUUGGUGAGCCCACAAUAUUAUUUGUUACUUAUUAGCGUUGUGCAGUACGUGCUUUCAUGGCUGGUCCUGUUGGAUAUUAUGGGCCUAGACCAUUAAUAAUAUCUAUUAAACUCUAUGGUCCUUACGUGUGCAGUAAUUUGUUUUGUACCGUAUGGGAAUUUAACCGAGAGAUGGCAUGGUGUGGCGUGGCGAGGCAGGCAGGCAGCGAGCAAGCGGACGGGCGGGCGGGCGAGGCCUUUAAUCUUGUAACUCCUACCUUCGUGAUCAUGAUUGAGAGGAG